rnacentral:rRNA from 1 species
CAGCCGCCGCGGGAAAACGAAGGGUGCAAGCGUUACUCGGAAUUACUGGGCGUAAAGCGUGCGUAGGUGGUGGUUUAAGUCCGUUGUGAAAGCCCUGGGCUCAACCUGGGAAUUGCAGUGGAUACUGGGUCACUAGAGUGUGGUAGAGGAUAGUGGAAUUUCCGGUGUAGCAGUGAAAUGCGUAGAGAUCGGAAGGAACAUCUGUGGCGAAGGCGACUAUCUGGGCCAACACUGACACUGAGGCACGAAAGCGUGGGGAGCAAACAGGAUUAGAGACCCCUGUAGUCCCUGUCUCUUAUAC